AUUGAACGCUGGCGGCAGGCCUAACACAUGCAAGUCGAACGAGUGGCGGACUGGUGAGUAAUGUCUGGGAACCUGCCCGAUGGACGGGGCUAACUACUGUAAACGGUAGCUACUACUGCUUACCAUCCGUUCUGCCCACAUGGGAUUAGCUAGUAGGUGGGGUAAAGGCUCAUCUAGGCGACGAUCCCUAGCUGGUCUGAGAGGAUGACCAGCCACACUGGAACUGAGACACGGUCCAGACGCCUACGGGAGGCAGCAGUGGGGAAUAUUGCACAAUGGGCGCAAGCCUGAUGCAGCCAUGCCGCGUGUGUGAAGAAGGCCUUCGGGUUGUAAAGCACUGUCAGCGGGGAGGCGUUACCCGCAGAAGAAGCACCGGCUAACUCCGUGCCAGCAGCCGCGGUAAUUC
rnacentral:rRNA from 1 species